GCGGAUCUGGGUGAGGAACAGCUUCUUCGCCAGCUUCGGAUUGGUGCGUGAGAGCUGAAAGCUGGCGCGUUGCAGUGCGAUAUUGCGGGCUCGACC
rnacentral:tRNA from 2 species